rnacentral:lncRNA from 1 species
CAGCCCAAAACGCAGGCAUUGCCCCUCUGUACAGAUGAGACAAUAAUUUUCUGGAUCUCAUGUAGUAUCAUCCUUUAGUCCUUCUCUUUAUCUUCUAAACAUCAUGUAAUACAAGCUAGCUAGCAUCCCUUUUAACUUGACCCUGUUUGGAUCAGGGGAUUUUUAAUUUGUAGAUUUCUUAGUUUGCCAUAUUCCUUUGGAAAGGAAUUGUGUCGUUGCGUAAUUUGGAACACACGAAAUAAAGCCAACUUCUAUUCGAUUCCACAGGGGGAAAAGCAUCCAGUCGGUUCCAAGCUAGGGAAAUCUUGCUCGCGCUCUCUAAUCAUGGCAGCUCGAUCUCACCCAUUCCUCUCUUCUCCUCCCACAAUGCAAGAAACCUCGGUCAGAUAAGAAAUCAGUGCAAAAAGAUUGAGCGGCAUCAUGCAAAUGAGAGAUCAAUUGAUAUAUAUCCUCCUGAACAAAUUAAGAAAAAUGCAUGCGUCGUGACGCAGAAGAGAUCGAAGUUAGCUAGGCAGCGAUUAUACAUGGAUGAAAAAAUUAAAAAAAAAGGAGGCCUUCGUCCUAGCCAUGCGCAGCUAGCCGGCCACUACUCCAUGGAUGAAGACCCAAGUUUUCAUAGCCAUACGCGGAUCGAUACGCCUUUCUAGAACUUAGGCAGAACCAAGGAAGAGAGAGAAUGGCUACAACAAAAGUGAUGAAUGAAGAUAAGAAUGGCGUAUAUACUCGGACAGAUUUGAGUGUCACACACAAACAAAUUAAAUGCAUUACUAUACAACCAGUCAAGAAUCAACUGCAGC